rnacentral:rRNA from 2 species
GUUAUAUGGUCAAGCGAAUAAGCGCACACGGUGGAUGCCUAGGCGGUCAGAGGCGAUGAAGGACGUGGUAGCCUGCGAAAAGUGUCGGGGAGCUGGCAACAAGCUUUGAUCCGGCAAUAUCCGAAUGGGGAAACCCACUGCUUCGGCAGUAUCCUGCAGUGAAUUCAUAGCUGCUGGAAGCGAACCCGGUGAACUGAAAUAUCUAAGUAACCGGAGGAAAAGAAAUCAACCGAGAUUCCCUAAGUAGUGACGAGCGAACGGGGAACAGCCCUUAAGCUGGAAUGGCUUUAGAAAAACAAUCUGGAAAGAUUGGCCAUAGAAGGUGAUAGCCCUGUACUUAAAAGGGCCACUCCAGUGAAGACGAGUAGGGCGGGGCACGUGAAACCCUGUCUGAAUAUGGGGGGACCAUCCUCCAAGGCUAAAUACUCCUGACCGACCGAUAGUGAACCAGUACCGUGAGGGAAAGGCGAAAAGAACCCCGGAGAGGGGAGUGAAAUAGAUCCUGAAACCGUGUGCGUACAAGCAGUAGGAGCUCGCAAGAGUGACUGCGUACCUUUUGUAUAAUGGGUCAGCGACUUACUGUUCGUGGCAAGCUUAACCGUAUAGGGGAGGCGAAGGGAAACCGAGUCUGAUAAGGGCGCAUAGUCGCGGGCAGUAGACCCGAAACCGGGUGAUCUAGUCAUGGCCAGGGUGAAGGUGCCGUAACAGGUACUGGAGGCCCGAACCCACGUCUGUUGCAAAAGACGGGGAUGAGCUGUGAUUAGGAGUGAAAAGCUAAUCGAACCCGGAGAUAGCUGGUUCUCCUCGAAAGCUAUUUAGGUAGCGCCUCGGACGAAUACUACUGGGGGUAGAGCACUGUUAUGGCUAGGGGGUCAUCGCGACUUACCAAACCAUUGCAAACUCCGAAUACCAGUACGUACUAUCCGGGAGACACACGGCGGGUGCUAACGUCCGUCGUGAAAAGGGAAACAACCCAGACCCACAGCUAAGGUCCCAAAUUCACUGCUAAGUGGAAAACGAUGUGGAAAGGCAUAGACAGCCAGGAGGUUGGCUUAGAAGCAGCCACCCUUUAAAGAAAGCGUAAUAGCUCACUGGUCGAGUCGGUCUGCGCGGAAGAUUUAACGGGGCUAAGCAGUGAACCGAAGCUUGGGGUGCGUAAAACUUCGGUUUUAUGCGCGGUAGAGGAGCGUUCCGUAAGCCUGCGAAGGUGGAUUGAGAAGUCCGCUGGAGGUAUCGGAAGUGCGAAUGCUGACAUGAGUAACGAUAAUGCGGGUGAAAAGCCCGCACGCCGAAAGCCCAAGGUUUCCUUGCGCAACGUUAAUCGACGCAGGGUUAGUCGGUCCCUAAGGCGAGGGCGAAAGCCGUAGUCGAUGGGAAGCAGGUUAAUAUUCCUGCACCUCGCGUGAGUGCGAUGGAGGGACGGAGAAGGUUAGGUGUACCGGGCGUUGGUUGUCCCGGGGAAAGGCGGUAGGUUUGGAUCUUUGGCAAAUCCGGGAUCCUUUAAGACCGAGCACCGAGACGAGCCUUUAUGGCGAAGUCACUGAUACCACGCUUCCAGGAAAAGCUCCUAAGCUUCAGCUCACGAAGACCGUACCGUAAACCGACACAGGUGGGUAGGAUGAGAAUUCUCAGGCGCUUGAGAGAACUCGGGUGAAGGAACUAGGCAACAUGGCACCGUAACUUCGGGAGAAGGUGCACCCUUUUUGGUGGCUCAUGCGAGCUAUAGCUGAAGAGGGUCGCAGAAACCAGGCCGCUGCGACUGUUUAUCAAAAACACAGCACUCUGCAAACACGAAAGUGGACGUAUAGGGUGUGACGCCUGCCCGGUGCUGGAAGGUUAAUUGAUGGGGUCAGCCGCAAGGCAAAGCUCUUGAUCGAAGCCCCAGUAAACGGCGGCCGUAACUAUAACGGUCCUAAGGUAGCGAAAUUCCUUGUCGGGUAAGUUCCGACCUGCACGAAUGGCGUAACGACAGCGGCGCUGUCUCCACCCGAGACUCAGUGAAAUUGAAAUCGCUGUGAAGAUGCAGCGUUCCCGUGGCAAGACGGAAAGACCCCGUGAACCUUUACUAUAGCUUUACACUGAACGUUGAGUUCGUCUGUGUAGGAUAGGUGGGAGGCUAUGAAACUGUGGCGCUAGCUGCAGUGGAGCCAUCCUUGAAAUACCACCCUGUCGUGCUUGACGUUCUAACCUAGAUCCGUUAUCCGGAUCAGGGACCGUGUAUGGUGGGUAGUUUGACUGGGGCGGUCUCCUCCUAAAGAGUAACGGAGGAGCACGAAGGUACGCUCAGCGCGGUCGGACAUCGCGCACUGUGUGCAAAGGCAUAAGCGUGCUUGACUGCAAGAUCGACGGAUCAAGCAGGUACGAAAGUAGGUCUUAGUGAUCCGGUGGUUCUGUAUGGAAGGGCCAUCGCUCAACGGAUAAAAGGUACUCCGGGGAUAACAGGCUGAUACCGCCCAAGAGUUCAUAUCGACGGCGGUGUUUGGCACCUCGAUGUCGGCUCAUCACAUCCUGGGGCUGUAGUCGGUCCCAAGGGUAUGGCUGUUCGCCAUUUAAAGUGGUACGCGAGCUGGGUUCAGAACGUCGUGAGACAGUUCGGUCCCUAUCUGCCAUGGGCGUUGGAAGUUUGAGAGGGGCUGCUCCUAGUACGAGAGGACCGGAGUGGACGAACCUCUGGUGUUCCGGUUGUCACGCCAGUGGCAUUGCCGGGUAGCUAUGUUCGGAAGCGAUAACCGCUGAAAGCAUCUAAGCGGGAAGCGCGCCUCAAGAUGAGACUUCCCGGGGCACAAGCCCCCUAAAGGAACCAUAUAGACUAUGUGGUUGAUAGGUCAGGUGUGUAAGUACAGCAAUGUAUUGAGCUAACUGAUACUAAUGAUCCGUGCGGCUUGACCAUAUAACCU